ensembl:lncRNA
GUAGUUAGCCCAGAUCUGGAACUAGGCGGUAGGUAGCCCAGAUCUGGGACUAGGCUAGGUAGUAGUUAGCCCAGAUCUGGGACUAGGCUAGGUAGUAGUUAGCCCAGAUCUGGGACUAGGCUAGGUAGUAGUUAGCCCAGAUCUGGGACUAGGCUAGGUAGUAGUUAGCCCAGAUCUGGGACUAGGCUAGGUAGUAGUUAGCCCAGAUUUGGGACUAGGCAAGGUAGUAGUUAGCCCAGAUCUGGGACUAGGCUAGGUGGUAGUUAGCCCAGAUCUGGGACUAGGCUAGGUGGUAGUUAGCCCAGAUCUGGGACUAGGUUAGGUGGUAGUUAACUCGCUGCUCCAUCUGUGAUGGUUGAUACGGCUCCCUGGACUUUGUUGACAUCACUGAUGCAAGCCCACUGGCCGUCCGCUGACUCCUUCCAC